rnacentral:rRNA from 1 species
CGCCGCGUGAGUGAAGAAGGGUUUCGGCUCGUAAAACUCUGUUGUUAAAGAAGAACAUAUCUGAGAGUAACUGUUCAGGUAUUGACGGUAUUUAACCAGAAAGCCACGGCUAACUACGUGCCAGCAGCCGCGGUAAUACGUAGGUGGCAAGCGUUGUCCGGAUUUAUUGGGCGUAAAGCGAGCGCAGGCGGUUUUUAAGUCUGAUGUGAAAGCCUUCGGCUCAAACCGAAGAAGUGCAUCGGAAACUGGGAAACUUGAGUGCAGAAGAGGACAGUGGAACUCCAUGUGUAGCGGUGAAAUGCGUAGAUAUAUGGAAGAACACCAGUGGCGAAGGCGGCUGUCUGGUCUGUAACUGACGCUGAGGCUCGAAAGUAUGGGUAGCAAACAGGAUUAGAUACCCUGGUAG